rnacentral:tRNA from 2 species
UGUUCGGUAGCUUCAAGUCUGGUAAAAGCACGUACUUUUAAUACGAGAGAGCUGGUUCAAAUCCAGUCCGAACAC